rnacentral:misc_RNA from 1 species
GAUGAAGAACGCAGCGAAAUGCGAUAAGUAAUGUGAAUUGCAGAAUUCAGUGAAUCAUCGAAUCUUUGAACGCACCUUGCGCCCUUUGGCUAUUCCGAAGGGCAUGCCUGUUUGAGUAUCGUGAACACCUCAACUCUCAUGGUUUGCCAUGAUGAGCUUGGACUUUGGGGGUUUUGCUGGCCUUUGGUCGGCUCCUCUCAAACGGAUCAGCUUUCCAGUGUUUGGUGGCGUCACGGGUGUGAUAACUAUCUACGCUUGUGGUUUUCUGCCAGGUAAUCCUCAGUGAUGGGGAUUCGCUGGGGCUUAUAAAUGUCUCUCCUCAGCGAAGACAGCUUUGUGAACGUUUGAUCUCAAAUCAGGUAGGACUACCCGCUGAACUUAAGCAUAUCAAUAAGCGGAGGA